rnacentral:rRNA from 1 species
CCUACGGGAGGCAGCAGCAGGGAAUCUUGUCCAAUGGGCGCAAGCCUGAGACAGCGACGCCGCGUGAGGGAUGAAGGCUUUCGGGUUGUAAACCUCUUUCAGGAGGGACGAAUAAUGACGGUACCUCCAGAAGAAGCCCCGGCUAACUACGUGCCAGCAGCCGCGGUAAU